rnacentral:rRNA from 1 species
CCAACAGGGAUUGCCUUAGUAACGGCGAGUGAAGCGGCAACAGCUCAAAUUUGAAAUCGCGCAAGCGAGUUGUAAUUUGCAGAGGAUGCUUUGGGUACAGUGUUUUCCGAGUUCCCUGGAACGGGACGCCAGAGAGGGUGAGAGCCCCGUACGGUCUAACACUAAGCCUAUGUAAAGCUCCUUCGAAGAGUCGAGUAGUUUGGGAAUGCUGCUCAAAGUGGGAGGUAAAUCUCUCCUAAAGCUAAAUAUUGGCCAGAGACCGAUAGCGCACAAGUAGAGUGAUCGAAAGAUGAAAAGCACUUUGAAAAGAGAGUUAAACAGCACGUGAAAUUGUUGAAAGGGAAGCGCUCGUGACCAGACUUGGCGGUGGUUGAUCUCCCUGGAUUCUUCCAGGUGUACUCAGCUACGGCUAGGCCAACAUCGGUUUCAGUGGUGGGAGAAAGACAGUAGGAAUGUGGCUCCUUUUGGAGUGUUAUAGCCUAUUGUGUAAUACCAUCAGUGGGACCGAGGCAUGCGAUAUCAAGGAUGUUGGCAUAAUGGUCGCUAGCGACCCGUCUUGAAACACGGACCAAGGAGUCAACCUAUUAUGCGAGUGUUUGGGUGUCAAGCCCUGACGCGAAAUGAAAGUGAACGCAGGUGAGAGCUUCGGCGCAUCAUCGACCGAUCCUGAUGUUCUCGGAUGGAUUUGAGUAAGAGCAUAAUGGGUUGGACCCGAAAGAAGGUGAACUAUGCUUGUAUAGGGUGAAGCCAGAGGAAACUCUGGUGGAGGCUCGCAGCGGUUCUGACGUGCAAAUCGAUCGUCAAAUAUGAGCAUGGGGGCGAAAGACUAAUCGAACCUUCUAGUAGCUGGUUCCAGCCGAA